rnacentral:lncRNA from 1 species
ACUGAGAAACUCAACAAACACUCGGAAGAGGUAACCCGUCUCGAGGUGAGCCUGAACGAGAAGAUCACGUACCUGACUUCUGAGAAGGAGAUGGCUUGUCAGAAAGUCGCUAGGCUCAAAAAGCAGCAGGACAGCCUCUUGAAAGAAAAAUCAGCCCUGGAGGUGCAAAAUGGAGAUCUGCUUGCUGACAGGGAGAGUUCCAUCAAGGCCAUAGGGGACCUGAAGAGGAAAUAUGAGCAGGAGGCCACAAACAGGCGGCUCGCGGUGCAGGAGAAGGUGAAGCUGCUGGGCAACAUCGACGCGCUGAAGAAAGAGCUUCAGCAGAGAAAGAAGGAGAACCAGGAGCUGGCGAGCAGCAAGUGCGACCUCUCCUUGAUGCUCAAAGAGGCUCAGACGGCCAAGAAGAACCUUGAAAAAGAGCACACGAGCAUGAUGCAGGCCAAGGAGGACCUGAACGCCGAGCUGAAGACGUGCUGCUGCGAGAAGAACAUCCUGCUGAGGGAUGGCUUGAACCUGCAGGAGGAGUGUCAGAAACUAAAUGAGGAGAUUCGGGAAAUCCAACAGACGUUAAUGCUGGAGAAGGAGGCCAGGGCCAAGGAGAGCGAGAGCUCUUUGUAUGAAAGCAACAAGCUCCACGGGAGAAUAGUGCUCUUAGAGGAAGAGAUACAGGGGCUGAGGACAUGUAGUGAGCAGCUCCAGACUGAGAAUUUUACCCUUACCCAAGAGAAGAC